GAUUGAUUGGUGACUGAGUGGCGGACGGGUGAGUAACGCGUGGGUAACCUGCCCUGUACAGGGGGAUAACGGUUGGAAACGGCUGCUAAUACCGCAUAAGCGCACGAGAGGACAUCCUCUUGUGUGAAAAACUCCGGUGGUACAGGAUGGGCCCGCGUCUGAUUAGCUGGUUGGCAGGGUAACGGCCUACCAAGGCGACGAUCAGUAGCCGGUCUGAGAGGAUGAACGGCCACAUUGGAACUGAGACACGGUCCAAACUCCUACGGGAGGCUGCAGUGGGGAAUAUUGCACAAUGGGGGAAACCCUGAUGCAGCAACGCCGCGAGAGUGAAGAAGUAUUUCGGUAUGUAAAGCUCUAUCAGCAGGGAAGAUAAUGACGGUACCUGACUAAGAAGCUCCGGCUAAAUACGUGCCAGCAGCCGCGGUAAUACGUAUGGAGCAAGCGUUAUCCGGAUUUACUGGGUGUAAAGGGUGCGUAGGUGGCAGUGCAAGUCAGAUGUGAAAGGCCGGGGCUCAACCCCGGAGCUGCAUUUGAAACUGCAUAGCUGGAGUACAGGAGAGGCAGGCGGAAUUCCUAGUGUAGCGGUGAAAUGCGUAGAUAUUAGGAGG
rnacentral:rRNA from 1 species